UGGGGAAUCUUGCACAAUGGGGGCAACCCUGAUGCAGCGACGCCGCGUGAGCGAUGAAGCCCUUCGGGGCGUAAAGCUCUUUCGACCGGAACGAUAAUGACGGUACCGGGAGAAGAAGCUGCGGCUAACUACGUGCCAGCAGCCGCGGUAAUACGUAGGCAGCAAGCGUUGUUCGGAGUUACUGGGCGUAAAGAGUGCGUAGGCGGUUUUCUAAGUUCGGUGUGAAAUCUCCCGGCUUAACUGGGAGGGUGCGCCGAAGACUGGGAAGCUGGAGUGUGGGAAAGGCAGGCGGAAUUCCUGGUGUAGCGGUGAAAUGCGUAGAUAUCAGGAGGAACACCCAUGGCGAAGGCAGCAAACUGGGCAUUAUCUGACGCUGAGGCGCGAAAGCGUGGGUAGCAAACA
rnacentral:rRNA from 1 species